rnacentral:rRNA from 1 species
AUGAGCCAUACAAUGAAGCUAUGGGAGAGAGUCAUUGAGCACCGCUUAAGAAGAAUGACAAGCGUGACCAAAAAUCAGUUUGGUUUCAUGCCUGGGAGGUCAACCAUGGAAGCCAUUUUCUUGGUACGACAACUUAUGGGGAGAUACAGGGAGCAAAAGAAGGACUUGCAUAUGGUGUUCAUUGACUUGGAGAAGGCCUAUGAUAAGAUACCGCAGAAUGUCAUGUGGUGGGCCUUGGAGAAACAGAAAGUCCCAGCAAAGUACAUUACCCUCAUCAAGGACAUGUACGAUAAUGUUGUGACAAGUGUUCGAACAAGUGAUGUCGACAGUAAUGACUUCCUGAUUAAGAUAGGACUGCAUCAGGGUCAGCUUUGA